CCUACGGGAGGCAGCAGUGAGGAAUAUUGGUCAAUGGCCGGAAGGCUGAACCAGCCAUGCCGCGUGAAGGUCAGUGCCCUAUGGGCGUUAAACUUCUUUUGUGCGGGAGCAAUAGUGGUCACGUGUGGCCAGACGAGAGUACCGUACGAAUAAGCAUCGGCUAACCCCGUGCCAGCAGCCGCGGUAAUACGGGGGAUGCAAGCGUUAUCCGGAUUUAAUGGGUUGAAAGGGUGCGUAGGCUGGGAGGUAAGUCAGCGGUGAAAUGCCCCCGCUCAACGGGGUGAAGUGCCAUUGAUACUGCCUUGCUGGAAUGCGGAUGCGGUGGGAGGAAUGUGUGGUGUAGCGGUGAAAUGCAUAGAUAUCACACAGAACACCGAUUGCGAAGGCAUCUCACGAAUCCGCGAUUGACGCUGAUGCACGAAAGCGUGGGUAUCAAACAGGAUUAGAUACCCCUGUAGUC
rnacentral:rRNA from 1 species